GGCGGCGUGGUGCAAUGGCUAACACAUCAGUCCGGUCUCUGAAGAUGCUGGUUCACUCCCAGCCGCCGAUU
rnacentral:tRNA from 1 species